GACAGUUUGGCCUAAGUAUGAGUGUGGGCAUUUGACAAGAAAGGAGGCUGUGAAGGGAAGACUAAGUCUGUACCUACUUUGACCUCUGCCUUCUCCACACACCCCAUGUUGAUGACAUCUAUUGAGAAACUACCAUGGGCCAGACACAGUGACUUAUGGUGCAAAGAGGAUCCACAAUUUGCCCCGGCUGUUGCUGCAGAGGGACAGGCGAUUGUGCUCUCUGGAAAGGAGGACCUGGAUCUGUCUGGAGUCACCUUCAGGACACACUUGCCCUGUUGCUGGGUGCUGCCCCACCUGCAACAUCUGUGUGCAGAUAGCCCUUUGCUGCUUCCUGAGCACCUAGGAACAGUCCCUAGGAGGUAUGAGGUGGCAUCACUGAGUCUUGGGAGAAGGAAUGUUCUCAAUUUUAAUAGACGACUCUAAAAAAUCUAGCCCAGUUUAACUACCAUAUUGAUGGAAAUUAUAAGAGGGACUGACCCCUACAUUGCUAAUGUCAAUUAUUUAAAUUUUGGACUAUCUGAUAAAUUCUCAGUUUAAAUUUGCUUUUCCUUUAAUUUCUUUUUUGAUUUUCUAAACACAUACUAAGUUAUUGCAAAUAUAUAAUGACUAGUUGAAUUUUUGUCCUUUAAUUAUUUCUUAACUUUUAAAUUACAGAGCAAGUAUUUUUUUCCCUAAUUGAUAUAUAAAUAGUAGCACUUUGGGCAUUUGUCAUAUGUACUUCCUUCUAGUCAGUUGCUCAUUUUCUUUUACAUUUCAUUUUCAGGUACAGAUUAGUGGGAAGUUGCAAAGACAGUACAGAGAAAUCCCUUGAACUCUUCUCCCAGUUUUCCCCAGUGAUUGCAUCUUACCUUUGAGGAUGGUACAGUAGCCAGCCCAGAAAUUCCACACUGGUGCAAUGCAUAUGUCAAGCUCCUGCCAGUGUAGUACACAGGUAAACAUAUGUAACGAAGGCAUAGAACUAUUCUGUUGCCAUAGGGACCUCCCCUUGCUACCAUUUUAUAAUCACUCCCUCCAGUCCUACACUUAUUCCACAGAAUCACACAGCAUGUGAACAUUGGAGACUGGCUUUCUCCCUCGGUGUAAGGCCCU
rnacentral:lncRNA from 1 species